UUACUGCAAUCAAUUCACCCGUAUUAAUGUUCAUAGCCAAAAAUACCUUACCAUAAGUACCAUUUCCAAUCAAUUCUCCUUUCAUCCAUUUGAACGUGGCAUUUUGUGAAACAACUGAUCCAGAAGUUAUAGUAGUAUCUGGUUUUAGUUCUACAAUCCUAGAGCCCCAAAGUUUCGUACUUGAUCGACGUAGAAGAUUUCCAG